AGUGCCGAUACCGUGGCAGAUGGUUUUAUUCAACUUUUGAACGAUGAAGACAAAGUGGGAGAAGUCAUGACAGUCUCAGCUCAUGAUGGGAUUGGUUACCACAAAUUUCCAGAGCAACUUUGACAAUCAUUUAGUUGAAAACAAAUUGUUUUCAUGUUUAGGUAAUAUGAAUGACAUUUGUUGAAACCAUAAACAGCGAGACAUGAUUCUAUAACUGACUCUUCCACAGUUCCUCGUUACGUUUUAGUGCGGGAGAAUAUGCCCGUUUGCGGGUUACAUCCAACGCGAGCGAAUGGGGACGAGUCAGAUUCUAUAACCUGUAUUUUUAUUUAGCCAACCGCUAAUCAAAGUAUUGUUCCCGGCUAUUGGCAGCCAUGGUAACGUACUGGAAUAAAGUUUGGUGCAAAAUUAUAGAAAAAAAACAAUGAAAAUGUUAAUUCUUUUAAAUUAAUCAUAGAAUUGUCAUUUUAAUAAUAAUAAUAAUUUAAUUCUAUUUUUCUAACAAGUGGCUCUUCAUCCGUAAAAAAAUACAUAUAGU